rnacentral:rRNA from 1 species
GUAUAGGAUAAUCAAGGCCAACUCAUAUUAUAUAAGAGGCCAAAGAUACAAGUAUCAUGUUCGAAAACAUCUCCGUACCUUAUCUACACAUAGUUCAGUCCGACUGUAACCUAUUUUGUACAAAUAUAUUCGACACAAUGCAACAGGGAGCUCCUAACCACCGCCUUCAACGCCGCUUACAAGUUACGGCGCACGGGGGCAUGCGGGCAUGGACCGUCACAUGAAUCGCCAAGUUCGUCACUCGCUCGCACGACUCGCACCUGCCGUUCGUUCGUUUGCAUAGCAGAACAACUCGCCAUUUUUUAGCUCAUUCUGUAGAAAUCUAUUAGUCCGGGGAGAACAAACAGGAAUGGUUUCCCUAGUAUUUAAAAAAUUGUGAAUAAAAAACUGUUUGCAGGUUUGAAAAAGCUCAUGAAGUAGAAAAAGGUUUGGGAAUUUACAAAAAGUUCAUGAUUUAGGAGAAGUUCAUGAAUUUGAAAAACAUGUCAUCGAUUUUGAAAAAAAUUAUAAAAUUGAGGAAAGUUCGUCAAUUUUCAAAAAUGUUCACUGAUUUUGAAAUAUAUUUUAUUGAUUUUGAAAAAAGUUCAUGAAUUUUAAAAAUUCAUUGAUUUUUAUUAAAAAGUUCAUCAAUUUUGAAAACUACUUCAUCAAUUUUUUUUUAAAAAAAACAUCAAUUUUAAGAAAAGUUCAUUGAAAAAAGUUCGCGAGUUUUUAAAAAGAAAAAAAAAACGCUAAAAGAAAAAGACAAAUAGGUUCACGUUCAUUAUUUGAAGAAGGGUAAAAGAAGGUGUCUAGCACAAAUGGAAAGUUGUCCAGGUGGUUACCGCGGUUCUACAUAACCUGUGGGGGUGCGGGUUCAAAUCUCCACAGUGCUCAUAUUUUGAAAUGUUUUACAGAAAAGAAAAAAGAAGAAUAAGAAAAUGGAAAAAGGAAUAAGGGUUGUGCAUCCAAUUGUGGGGGAUGUAGAACAGGUGGGGUAUCCCCUCCUAUCAGGAGGGUCUUUUUUUUUCCUCAAGAUGCUUGAAAAGUUGUCUAUUGAAAAAAUGUCACAUAAACAAAAAAGAGUCGCUAUUGACAAUUUCUUCGGAUUACCAAAAGUACUGAGAGCAUCUCUAGCAGACCCCUAUUCUGUGAAACUGUAAAUGCAGUUUACAGUUCGCGCGGGGCUGUAUAUACAGGCUCAAAAUCGCCGCGGCAGAUUAGACUAUAUCCAAAACCGUAAAAAAAAAUAAAAACAUGUUUCGCGCGAGAAUUUUUUGCAAAAGCUCGCUAAAAAACAUGUUUCGCGCGAGAAUUUUUUACAUAAAAGCUCGUCGGAGCUACGCGGGACCUACAUUACCGCAUCACUAGACAAAAUGGAGCUCGUGCGGUAGCUGACCAGCGGCGGCGCUCAAUCGGAGUCAGAGGAGUCGAGGUCGAUGAAGAACUUCGCUUGCUCCGCCUUCAUGAAGCGCAUGUUCGCCUCCUUGGACGCGUGCGUCUGCGACGCCUGUCUGGAGGAACAUCUGCUCGAGCUCGCGGCAGUGGCGCUCUUCGGCCUCCUCCUGCUCCCUUGCUGACAGUUCCAGGACGACGAGCUCGAGGUGCUCCUUCUUCCCCGGGGAAGGUAAUCCUCGAGGCCGAUCACGCCUCAACGCGGUGGCGCGUUGGCCUCGAGUUUGACGGCGCGCGGCCCGAGCUCCUCCGGCUCUCUCUUCACAAGAGUGAGCCGCGAGCUCAAGGCGCCCGCGGACGUGCUCCCCGCGAUAGAGGUGCCGGAGGAGGCGUGGCGGUGGCGGGUGAGCUCGCGCUCGAACUCGUCCAGCUCGCGGCACUCAAACGCCGGCGGCGGCUGGCUACCGCGGUUGAGCCACCUUCAUGCGCCCCGCUUGUGCGUGGCGUUAGAUCUGGUGCGACGCCGGCGCUCCGCCUCAUCCCAGAAGCUACCAUAGCUAUCCAUGGCUUUUUCAGGCUCGCCGAAGGCGAGAAAUCGGGCGGAGGCGGAGGGGAAUCGCGGCGAAGGCGG